GUGCGAGCAAGAAGAGAUGGGAUAAACUCAGAGGAAAGAGAGGCAAGUUCUGGAACAGGAUUAAGACGGGUCUGGGAAUGAGUAGCGGCUCCAGCUCUGGCACAGAUAUUCCAGUUUGCAAUAGGUGUGGGAGACCGCACAAAGGAGCUUGUUUGUUGGGAUCGACAGCCUGCUAUAGAUGUGGGCAGGAGGGACAUUAUGCUCGAGAAUGUCCU
rnacentral:lncRNA from 1 species